GACGAACGCUGGCGGCGUGCUUAACACAUGCAAGUCGAACGGAAAGGCCCUGCUAUUGUGCGGUGCCCGAGUGGCGAACGGGUGAGGAAGACGUAUGUAACCUGCCCUUCACUUUGGGAUAACAUCAGGAAACUGGGGCUAAUACCGGAUAGGAGCCCCUGUACCAUGGUGGGGGUUGGAAAGUUUCGGCUGUCGCGGAUGGACUGGCGGGUUACCAGCUUGCUGGUGGGGUAGUGGCAUGCCAAGGCUUGGACGGGUAGGCGGCCGGAGAGGGUGAACGGCCACCAUGGUACUGAGAUACGCCGCAGACUCCUACGGGAGGCAGCAGUGGGAAAUAUUACACAGUGGGCGGAAGCGUGAGGAAACAACGUCGCGUGCGGGAUGACGGCCUUCGGGUUGUAAACCGCUUUCGCCUAAGACGCAGCGUGAGUGACGGUAAUGGAUAAAGAAGCACCGGCUAACUACGUG
rnacentral:rRNA from 1 species